rnacentral:rRNA from 1 species
CGCGGCCUAUCAGCUUGUUGGUGGGGUGAUGGCCUACCAAGGCGACGACGGGUAGCCGGCCUGAGAGGGUGACCGGCCACACUGGGACUGAGACACGGCCCAGACUCCUACGGGAGGCAGCAGUGGGGAAUAUUGCACAAUGGGCGGAAGCCUGAUGCAGCGACGCCGCGUGAGGGAUGACGGCCUUCGGGUUGUAAACCUCUUUCAGUAGGGAAGAAGCCUUUCGGGGUGACGGUACCUGCAGAAGAAGCGCCGGCUAACUACGUGCCAGCAGCCGCGGUAAUACGUAGGGCGCAAGCGUUGUCCGGAAUUAUUGGGCGUAAAGAGCUCGUAGGCGGCUUGUCGCGUCUGCUGUGAAAACGCAAGGCUUAACCUUGCGCCUGCAGUGGGUACGGGCAGGCUAGAGUGCGGUAGGGGAGUCUGGAAUUCCUGGUGUAGCGGUGAAAUGCGCAGAUAUCAGGAGGAACACCGGUGGCGAAGGCGGGACUCUGGGCUGUAACUGACGCUGAGGAGCGAAAGCGUGGGGAGCGAACAGGAUUAGAUACCCUGGUAGUCCACGCCGUAAACGUUGGGCGCUAGGUGUGGGGUUCUUCCACGGAUUCCGCGCCGUAGCUAACGCAUUAAGCGCCCCGCCUGGGGAGUACGG